GUGGGGAAUAUUGGACAAUGGGCGAAAGCCUGAUCCAGCCAUGCCGCAUGUGUGAAGAAGGUCUUCGGAUUGUAAAGCACUUUAAGUUGGGAGGAAGGGCAGUAAGUUAAUACCUUGCUGUUUUGACGUUACCGACAGAAUAAGCACCGGCUAACUUCGUGCCAGCAGCCGCGGUAAUACGAAGGGUGCAAGCGUUAAUCGGAAUUACUGGGCGUAAAGCGCGCGUAGGUGGUUUUGUAAGUUGGAGUUGAAAUCCCCGGGCUCAACCUGGGAACUGCCUCCAAAACUGCAUGACUAGAGUACGGUAGAGGGUAGUGGAAUUUCCUGUGUAGCGGUGAAAUGCGUAGAUAUAGGAAGGAACACCAGUGGCGAAGGCGACUACCUGGACUGAUACUGACACUGAGGUGCGAAAGCGUGGGGAGCAAACAGGAUUAGAUACCCGGGUAGUCC
rnacentral:rRNA from 1 species